UACUAGCUGUGUUAAACGCUGGAUCAGUGGUGGUUUACUAGCUGUGUUAAACGCUGGAUUAGAGGUGGUUUACUAGCUGUGUUAAACGCUGGAUUAGAGGUGGUUUACUAGCUGUGUUAAACGCUGGAUUAGUGGUGGUUUACUAGCUGUGUUAAACGCUGGAUUAGUGGUGGUUUACUAGCUGUGUUAAACGCUGGAUUAGAGGUGGUUUACUAGCUGUGUUAAACGCUGGAUUAGAGGUGGUUUACUAGCUGUGUUAAACGCUGGAUUAGAGGUGGUUUACUAGCUGUGUUAAACGCUGGAUUAGGGGUGGUUUACUAGCUGUGUUAAACGCUGGAUUAGAGGUGGUUUACUAGCUGUGUUAAACGCUGGAUUAGAGGUGGUUUACUAGCUGUGUUAAACGCUGGAUUAGAGGUGGUUUACUAGCUGUGUUAAACACUGGAUUAGUGGUGGUUUACUAGCUGUGUUAAACGCUGGAUUAGAGGUGGUUUACUAGCUGUGUUAAACGCUGGAUCAGUGGUGGUUUACUAGCUGUGUUAAACGCUGGAUUAGAGGUGGUUUACUAGCUGUGUUAAACGCUGGAUUAGGGGUGGUUUACUAGCUGUGUUAAACGCUGGAUUAGAGGUGGUUUACUAGCUGUGUUAAACGCUGGAUUAGUGGAGUUUUACUAGCUGUGUUAAACGCUGGAUUAGGGGUGGUUUACUAGCUGUGUUAAACGCUGGUUUACUAGCUGUGUUAAACGCUGGAUUAGAGGUGGUUUACUAGCUGUGUUAAACGCUGGAUUAGGGGUGGUUUACUAGCUGUGUUAAACGCUGGAUUAGGGGUGGUUUACUAGCUGUGUUAAACGCUGGAUUAGAGGUGGUUUACUAGCUGUGUUAAACGCUGGAUUAGAGGUGGUUUACUAGCUGUGUAAAACGCUGGAUUAGUGGAGGUUUACUAGCUGUGUUAAACACUGGAUUAGUGGUGGUUUACUAGCUGUGUUAAACGCUGGAUUAGGGCUGGUUUACUAGCUGUGUUAAACGCUGGAUUAGGGGUGGUUUACUAGCUGUGUUAAACGCUGGAUUAGAGGUGGUUUACUAGCUGUGUUAAACGCUGGAUUAGUGCUGGUUUACUAGCUGUGUUAAACGCUGGAUUAGGGGUGGUUUACUAGCUGUGUUAAACGCUGGA